rnacentral:tRNA from 1 species
AAGGUUUUAGCUUAAUUAAAGUGUCUAUUUUGCAGGUAGAAGAUGUGGGUUAGUAUCCCGUAAAUCUUA